AUAAUUAACAUAAGUCAUGUCAACCACCAUUCUUUCGAAUAAAACAAGCAAUCAAGCAUCUAGAAACUGAAGAAAAAUUAACAUCAAUUCUCCAAUGUUCGACAUCACUAUGUUCAUAAAUGAAAAGAGUACAACAUCAUCACAAUACUAGAGAAAUUAAAACAACACAAAGUAGUUCCAAGAUAGUUCAAAACAACAUAAAGUAGUCACAAAUUAAAACAACACAAUACAAAAGAAAUUAACACAACAGUCACAUCAAAGUAGUUCCAAGAUAGGUCAUUUCCUUCCUUCUGGCAUCUUCACAAAUGACACCCUGAAAUUGGGAUCCUUAAAAGCCUUUAUUGUUUUCAUAUAAAUCUCGUUGGACACCCCUUCCAUAUUGUUUAAGAAGUUUAAGCAAAUAACAUUUGAAUAAGAAUUCAGACUAUUAACUUCACUAUCCGAUUGAUUACUUGAUUUUCUUUGGAUCUUUGCAAGCUUUUCUUUUAGGUAAAGUGUUCUAAGUUCAGCUUCUUCAUUCCUCAAACUAACUGUAGAUGACCACUGUGCCAUGCAGGUCUUGAGUUUAUCACUUUUACUGGUCUUAAGUUCCUUACAUCGCCGUUCACCCGAUGCACCAAUUUCGUUACGUCGACGAGUAUUUGAAACCGUAUCGACUUCAUCAUCAUUUUCAGCACGUACAUGCACUCCCCUACUUAAAAAAUCAUCUUUUAGCUGUCUUUCUUCCUAUGAUGUCUUGGGAAGCUGAGUAGAGGCACUGCCUAAUCCUCUAGUAGCUGUAGUUCCGCUAAAUAUCUCCCCAAGAGUGUAGUAGUGCUUACAUCCUUCCUUCUUGAAUAACUUGUAAUCCGACUUAUUAAUCUAACAUUGAAAAAAGAAGCCACAUUGUCAUUUUUUUUAAAAAAAUGUAAAAUUGAUAAGAUAAAAAUUAAUGACGAAAAACAUUCUUUAAAAAAUAUAUGUUACCGUAUAAAAGUGUUGCCAAACUUCCUCUACAACAUUAACUUUGUUAGUAUUUGGAUCUCAUGUAACAUCUGUAUGUCCCAAAAGUUCAAAGAACAUGUGAUGAAUCUUACGUAAGCGGUUCCACUUUCCCUUCAAUCUAUCUAUGCCGUAAUCCAUUUUUGUUGAAGCUAUCAUGGCUUCAUUGAUCCUGCCCCAUUCGUCUUUGAUGAAUGUAGAACAUUGCAAUGCAUUUGAUUUAACUUUCUCGUAAAGAAUUUCGAUAAAAGCAUGUUCAUUCUCGUCGGACCAUGACACUAGUUCCUUAUUCCUAACUCUGUGAUUACCCAUGUUGAAGCUAUAUUGAAUAUACAUCAAAUUAAGCAAAACAUAGCAUAUUAGAAUUGCCUUACCAUAACCUGUUAAGCAAAACUAAAAUAUAAAACUUUGAUUUUAUCAAUUAGUCCGUGUAGUUUUUUAAUAUCCUAUUUCAAUUUUUUGGGGUCUUCAAGAGCUUCACUCUUGUGGGCUGUUAAAGAAGGAACGGGAGAAACUGGGAACUUCAUCUUCACCCAUAAUGACAUUUUUGGAACAAUAAGUUUGUUCACCAAUGCCUGAACUGACCAUGAUUUUUAAAAGAAACUUGUAUUCAUCCCAACCAAGAUUCUUAUUUCUCAAAACAAUUCUACAAGAGGAUUCGGUGUCUACCUUUCUGUCCUUAGUGGCCUUGUAGCAUUCAUAAUUUAGCAUGUAGCAGCAAUUAUUUUUCUGCCCCAAGAAUCUUUCAAAAAGUUGAAUGAAAACAUAAAAGAGAAAAAUAAUGUAGAUUGCAAUGAAGAACUCCAUAUUCAGAAGAGAAAGAGAGGUGUGAGUUCUGUUGAGUAGCUUACAACCUACCAAGACUUUACAGACAAAUUUUUUAAUAAAAAUAUUACAUAAAUAUUAAUCAAGAGCUCACAAGUUGGCGCUCACGAAAAAAAGCAAAAGAAUACACUUUUCCACAUCGAUAAUAUGGAGAUUAUUUUCAAACACAGAAGAAUUUUAUCGACCUUACUCCUACUUAGUCCACUUGUGGGGAUCCUUCUCUCAAACAUUUAAUACCAGUCAACCACUACCAAGAAACCAUAUUUUCAAGCAACUACUUAGAUGAAUUCAGCUAAUUAAAACAGAAUGGGAUUGUCCCUGUCAACAUAGGCGGAUAAUUUUCUUUUCAUUAGUUAAAUCCUUUGCAAAUUUGUUCCGACCGAAGAUUAGAAGGGAUUGUCCCUGUCAACAUGUUAUAACUAAGGUCUAAACUUUUGAGGAAAAGAAAGUUGUAGUUCCUCUAAAAGAAACAAUUUUCCUAUUUUUUUAGGAACAACACAUGUGAAAUUGUAUUGGCUAAGGUUCAGGCUCUUGAGGGAAUCCAAUUCAAGAAAUUGUGAAUAAAUUUCCCCAGUAAGAGAAUUUUGUGAAAAAUCCAAGUGCUCUAACAUCCUAAAGUCAUGAAAUUAGGCAAAGAACCAACCAAUCUAUUCCUACUACAAUUCAACAAUUUCAAUCCACUAAUCUCUCGGCAAUCAGUGAUGAACCCACCUGGGAUUGAGCUCAAAUAAUUAUAACAGAGAUCAAUAGACUCCAAAAAAUGGGAAAAAAGGGUGCAAAAAAUCCACUGUAACUUGUAUCAAUUUCGAAGGUAUUGUAUUCUCUCUGCAAUCCACUGUAACGUGUUUAAUUACCAAGAAUUGUCAUAAAAAUGGGGAAAAAAAAAAUCUCUACAUCCCUACAUUUUUAUACAUAUUAACAUGGAAAAUCCACCAAAUGGGUUUUACCCAAUUCAGAAACGCAAGUAGAACAAAAAAUUCAACAAUCACGAAGAAAUAAAUGUAGAUUUUUACAGAAAAACUAAAUGAGUUAUCAUCUAUUUGUUCAAAGAACAACAAAUCGAGGGCACAUUAAAAAACCAGCAAACAAACUAAAUAAGUGGUUGGAUUAAUACAGCAAAAUUGAUGUAGCAAAUAUGAAGAACGCUAACUAUAGUGCCCAAUAAAAGCAGAGGCAGCAAUGAUUUAGCGAAAGUUCACAAAAGAAAUACCUAGAGCAGAAAAUAGGAGACGAUGAUUGAUCUUCCAAAGUUUUCAGGCUGCGAACGAGGAGGAAGAGGAAACCCUAGGAAAUCUGCUCAGAAUGUGAUAGAGAGGAAAAAGAAAGAGAGAAAUGUUGUUUUCAAUGUGAAACGUGCGUUUCCCGUGUUUCCAAAAAAUUUCAAGAUUUGGCUGCAAGACACUCAAAACGUGUAAAAAGGCGUUUUGUGUUUUUAGUGUAAUUUUUAUUUGUUUUCAAAAACUCGUUUUCGAAAAUGGGAAAGAGAACGCGUUU
rnacentral:lncRNA from 1 species